rnacentral:rRNA from 1 species
UCAACUUGAGAGUUUGAUCCUGGCUCAGAACGAACGCUGGCGGCAGGCUUAACACAUGCAAGUCGAACGCCCCGCAAGGGGAGUGGCAGACGGGUGAGUAACGCGUGGGAAUCUACCCAUCUCUGCGGAAUAGCUCUGGGAAACUGGAAUUAAUACCGCAUACGCCCUACGGGGGAAAGAUUUAUCGGGGAUGGAUGAGCCCGCGUUGGAUUAGCUAGUUGGUGGGGUAAAGGCCUACCAAGGCGACGAUCCAUAGCUGGUCUGAGAGGAUGAUCAGCCACAUUGGGACUGAGACACGGCCCAAACUCCUACGGGAGGCAGCAGUGGGGAAUAUUGGACAAUGGGCGCAAGCCUGAUCCAGCCAUGCCGCGUGAGUGAUGAAGGCCUUAGGGUUGUAAAGCUCUUUCACCGGUGAAGAUAAUGACGGUAACCGGAGAAGAAGCCCCGGCUAACUUCGUGCCAGCAGCCGCGGUAAUACGAAGGGGGCUAGCGUUGUUCGGAAUUACUGGGCGUAAAGCGCACGUAGGCGGAUAUUUAAG